AGAGUUUGAUCCUGGCUCAGAUUGAACGCUGGCGGCAUGCCUUACACAUGCAAGUCGAACGGCAGCACGAGAGCUUGCUCUUGGUGGCGAGUGGCGAACGGGUGAGUAAUAUAUCGGAACGUACCCUAGAGUGGGGGAUAACGUAGCGAAAGUUACGCUAAUACCGCAUACGAUCUACGGAUGAAAGUGGGGGAUCGCAAGACCUCAUGCUCAUGGAGCGGCCGAUAUCUGAUUAGCUAGUUGGUGGGGUAAAAGCUCACCAAGGCGACGAUCAGUAGCUGGUCUGAGAGGACGACCAGCCACACUGGAACUGAGACACGGCCCAGACUCCUACGGGAGGCAGCAGUGGGGAAUUUUGGACAAUGGGCGCAAGCCUGAUCCAGCAAUGCCGCGUGAGUGAAGAAGGCCUUCGGGUUGUAAAGCUCUUUUGUCAGGGAAGAAACGGUGGACUCUAAUACAGAUCACUAAUGACGGUACCUGAAGAAUAAGCACCGGCUAACUACGUGCCAGCAGCCGCGGUAAUACGUAGGGUGCAAGCGUUAAUCGGAAUUACUGGGCGUAAAGCGUGCGCAGGCGGUUGUGCAAGACAGAUGUGAAAUCCCCGGGCUCAACCUGGGAAUUGCAUUUGUGACUGCACGGCUAGAGUGUGUCAGAGGGGGGUAGAAUUCCACGUGUAGCAGUGAAAUGCGUAGAGAUGUGGAGGAAUACCGAUGGCGAAGGCAGCCCCCUGGGAUAACACUGACGCUCAUGCACGAAAGCGUGGGGAGCAAACAGGAUUAGAUACCCUGGUAGUCCGCGCCCUAAACGAUGUCUACUAGUUGUCGGGUCUUAAUUGACUUGGUAACGCAGCUAACGCGUGAAGUAGACCGCCUGGGGAGUACGGUCGCAAGAUUAAAACUCAAAGGAAUUGACGGGGACCCGCACAAGCGGUGGAUGAUGUGGAUUAAUUCGAUGCAACGCGAAAAACCUUACCUACCCUUGACAUGUCUGGAAUCCUUGAGAGAUCAGGGAGUGCUCGAAAGAGAAUCAGAACACAGGUGCUGCAUGGUUGUCGUCAGCUCGUGUCGUGAGAUGUUGGGUUAAGUCCCGCAACGAGCGCAACCCUUGUCAUUAGUUGCUACGAAAGGGCACUCUAAUGAGACUGCCGGUGACAAACCGGAGGAAGGUGGGGAUGACGUCAAGUCCUCAUGGCCCUUAUGGGUAGGGCUUCACACGUCAUACAAUGGUACAUACAGAGGGCCGCCAACCCGCGAGGGGGAGCUAAUCCCAGAAAGUGUAUCGUAGUCCGGAUUGUAGUCUGCAACUCGACUACAUGAAGUUGGAAUCGCUAGUAAUCGCGGAUCAGCAUGUCGCGGUGAAUACGUUCCCGGGUCUUGUACACACCGCCCGUCACACCAUGGGAGCGGGUUUCACCAGAAGUGGGUAGCCUAACCGCAAGGAGGGCGCUCACCACGGUGGGAUUCGUGACUGGGGUGAAGUCGUAACAAGGUA
rnacentral:rRNA from 1 species